AUUGAACGCUGGCGGCAGGCCUAACACAUGCAAGUCGAACGCGUGGCGGCCGGGUGCGUAAUGUCUGGGAAACUGCCUGAUGGAGGGGGAUAACUACUGGAAACGGUAGCUCAUACCGCAUACCAUAAGAUGUUCCCAAGUGGGAUUAGCUUGUUGUUGGGGUAACGGCUCACAAAGGCGACGAUCCCUACCUGGCCUGAGAGGAUGACCAGCCACACUGGAACGGAGACACGGUCCUGACUCCUACGGGAGGCAGCAGUGGGGAAUAUUGCACAAUGGGCGCAAGCCUGAUGCAGCCAUGCCGCGUGUAUGAAGAAGGCCUUCGGGUUGUAAAGUACUUUCAGCGGGGAGGCGUUACCCGCAGAAGAAGCACCGGCUAACUCCGUGCCAGCCGCCGCGGUAAUAC
rnacentral:rRNA from 1 species